GCACGUUACUCAUUUGCUUUCUAGUAGCUUGGGUGUUUAUUUUUGUGAAAUUUUAGAUUGUUUAUUAAAUACUGUUUCGCAAUGAGCCCCUGUACUUUAACUUCUUUGUGAGUGUGUCACAUACACCAAGUGUUCAAAUACUGAAGUGUGUCUGUCCUAGAUAUCACACAAACAAAAAGCCACUGGCGUUCAUCCCAACCAGAUACACUAGGGGGAGCCAAACUGUGCCCACUGGUGAAUACC